rnacentral:rRNA from 1 species
UCGAGAAUUUUUCACAAUGGGGGAAACCCUGAUGGAGCGACGCCGCGUGGAGGAUGAAGGUCUUCGGAUUGUAAACUCCUGUCACCACAGAACAAGGUCCAAGGAAUUAACACUCCCUUGGCUUGAUGGUAUGUGGAGAGGAAGGGACGGCUAACUCUGUGCCAGCAGCCGCGGUAAUACAGAGGUCCCAAGCGUUGUUCGGAUUCAUUGGGCGUAAAGGGUGUGUAGGAGGUCGGGUAAGUCGGGCGUGAAAUCUCACUGCUUAACAGUGAAACUGCGUUCGAUACUGCUCGGCUAGAGGACCGGAGGGGGGAUCGGAAUUCAUGGUGUAGCAGUGAAAUGCGUAGAUAUCAUGAGGAACACCGGUGGCGAAGGCGGAUCCCUGGAAGGUUCCUGACUCUGAAACACGAAAGCUAGGGGAGCAAACGGGAUUAGAUACCCGUGUAGUCC